UCAAAAUGAAGUUGCCUGGUAGACUGUUGGUGCUGUUGUUCUGGAUUCCUGCUUCCAGCAGUGAUGUUGUGAUGACCCAAACUCCAGUUUUGCUGCCUGUCAGCCUUGGAGAUCAAGCCUCUAUCUCUUGCAGGUCUAGUCAGAGCCUUGUACAUAAUAAUGGAAAUACCUAUUUGCAUUGGUACCUGCAGAAGCCAGGCCAGUCUCCUCAGCUCCUGAUCUACAAGGUUUCCAACAGAUAUUCUGGGGUCCCAGACAGGUUCAGUGGCAGUGGGUCAGGGACAGAUUUCUCACUCAAGAUCAGCAGAGUGGAACCUGAGGAUUUGGGAGUUUAUUACUGCUUCCAAAGUACAUAUUUACCUCCCACAUUGAUGCAGACCCUAAGAAAAAUGUCCUUGCUUGGAGUAUCACAGCUGUCAAAUAAGUUAGUUAUCUGUGUGAGAGGGAAGUGUUUUGGGACUGCAGAUUAUGUGGUGCAGCUGACAGCAUGUGCAUCUUGGCUACAGCUCACUGAUCAUUCUUUUUGCCUUCAUUGGCUACAAUAGCAAUGAUAUUGCUUCUGCUUCAGUAGAAUAGUGAACAGAUGGCCUGGCAGCAACAAACAAUGAUGGUUGUAAAACAUAGUGUAAACCCAUUUUUUUCCUACAAGCCUUGUCUUCUUGUCUUUCUUUGUUACUCAACAUUAUCCAGUAAAGCAGACAGGAAACUGAGAAGCAUUUCUUUGUUAAAUUCUCUCACUUACUAAUAAUUGCUUCAUUUG